GUGCCAGCAGCCGCGNUAAUACGUAGGGUGCGAGCGUUGUCCGGAUUUACUGGGCGUAAAGAGCUCGUAGGUGGCUUGUCGCGUCGUCUGUGAAAGUCUGGGGCUUAACUCCGGGUGUGCAGGCGAUACGGGCUGGCUUGAGUGCUGUAGGGGAGACUGGAAUCCCUGGUGUAGCGGUGGAAUGCGCAGAUAUCAGGAGGAACACCGAUGGCGAAGGCAGGUCUCUGGGCAGUCACUGACGCUGAGGAGCGAGAGCAUGGGUAGCGAACAGGAUUAGAUACCCUGGUAGUCCAUGCUGUAAACGGUGGGCGCUAGGUGUGGGGACUUUCCAUGGUUUCCGUGUCGUAGCUAACGCGUUAAGCGCCCCGCCUGGGGAGUACGGCCGCAAGGCUAAAACUCAAAGGAAUUGACGGGGGCCCGCACAAGCGGCGGAGCAUGUGGAUUAAUUCGAUGCAACGSGAAGAACCUUACCUGGGUUUGACAUGCACUAGAUUAGGCGAGAGAUCGUCUGUCCCUUUGUGGCUGGUGUGCAGGUGGUGCAUGGUUGUCGUCAGCUCGUGUCGUGAGAUGUUGGGUUAAGUCCCGCAACGAGCGUAACCCUUGUCUCUAUGUUGCCAGCACGUUGUGGUGGGGACUCGUGAGAGACUGCCGGGGUGAACUCGGAGGAAGGUGGGGAUGACGUCAAAUCAUCAUGCCCCUUAUGUCCAGGGCUUCACGCAUGCUACAAUGGCUGGUACAGAGAGUGGCGAGCCUGUGAGGGUGAGCGAAUCUCGGAAAGCCGGUCUCAGUUCGGAUUGGGGUCUGCAACUCGACCUCAUGAAGUCGGAGUCGCUAGUAAUCGCAGAUCAGCAACGCUGCGGUGAAUACGUUCCCGGGGCUUGCACACACCGCCCGU
rnacentral:rRNA from 1 species